rnacentral:rRNA from 1 species
CCCUUAGUUAUCCUAGGCCGCACGCGUGUUACAAUGACUUUUUCAGCAAGUUCUCCUGGCCCGAGGGGGUGCGGGUAAUCUGAAAUCAAAGUCGUGUUAGGGAUAGAUCUUUGCAAUUAUAGAUCUUGAACGAGGAUUUUGUAGUAAGUGCGCGUCAUCACCGCGUACUGACUGCGUCCCCGCUGUUUGUACACACCGCCCGUCGCUUCUACCGAUUGAAUGUUCCGGUGAGUAAUUUGGACCCGGGGGGGCUUGCUCCUCUGGGGAAGUUUCGCAAACCUAUGCAUUUAGAGGAAGAAGAAGUCGUAACA